AGCUGUGUCUUAACAAGGGUUCACAUUUCAGGCCUGUGGCACUCCCCACACCCUGGAAGUCACUAGCUGAGGACAUCCUCUGACUCAACUUCUGAUAGUUCCACGAUGUUCCUGCCUGGGCCCAAACCUCCCAUCUGCAGUUUGUAUCCCUGCAAUUUCCAGGCCUGGGUCUCUCCACCAGAGAGACUGGCAGGGCCAGGAGCUUCGUAAACAUAAUCUCAUCCAGAUGGGGGUGACAGCGCUGCUUUACAGGACCUCAAAGCAUCCCAGGAUGGCGUCUAAUACUAGUGGAAAACAGAUGAGAAGCAGAUGAGCAUUUUCUCCUUCUACAAAUAAGCAAAGUUGAGACAUACAAGCACCAAGUCAAGGGUGCUGUGGACGCCAUUGUGAGAAGAGGUCGCUCAGUGUGAGGGGAGAAGGGUCAUUGUGAACCCUAAUGUGAACCACAGGGAAGUGCAAACACAGGGUUGAGCAGAGACUUUCAGAUUUUACUAUAAAUGCUUGAGUAUUAUUUAUGCCAAGGACAUGUCCUAUGUUCUUUUUCUAUAAAUAAA